AAUUCAAGAAGAAGCUACCAACCUUUUGAUUAAUUUUCGUUGCGAUCUUGAAUCUUACUAUGUCAUUACUACUGAACGAAAUCCAGAUAAUAUAAUGAGUCGACUUUCUGAAAACACAAGCGCACUAUUACAAAUUAAUAAACUUUUGACCAAACUUAAAAAUAACCAAAUUCAAAUCAGAGUCUUUAAAAAAAGAUAUCAACAACAACUAAGAAAAGCGUCAUGGGCACAUGAAAGAAAAAAAAGAGUCAAUAACGAAAAAAACAUGGAAAUAUUCGAUGAAAUUAAAAACAAAACUAAAAAAAAACCAUUUUGCGAUAAUAACGAUCCAAUGCAUGAACCGUUUUGUAUUAAACAAGAAAGAAUAUCAGAAGACUCGAUCAAACAAGAAGAAUUGUCAGAUGACGAUUUAAACUUUAAAUAAUUU
rnacentral:lncRNA from 1 species